rnacentral:rRNA from 2 species
AGCGGUUAGGCCGGGAACUCAAAGGAGACUGCCAGUGAUAAACUGGAGGAAGGUGGGGAUGACGUCAAGUCAUCAUGGCCCUUACGACCAGGGCUACACACGUGCUACAAUGGCGCAUACAAAGAGAAGCGACCUCGCGAGAGCAAGCGGACCUCAUAAAGUGCGUCGUAGUCCGGAUUGGAGUCUGCAACUCGACUCCAUGAAGUCGGAAUCGCUAGUAAUCGUGGAUCAGAAUGCCACGGUGAAUACGUUCCCGGGCCUUGUACACACCGCCCGUCACACCAUGGGAGUGGGUUGCAAAAGAAGUAGGUAGCUUAACCUUCGGGAGGGCGCUUACCACUUUGUGAUUCAUGACUGGGGUGAAGUCGUAACAAGGUAACCGUAGGGGAACCUGCGGUUGGAUCACCUCCUUACCUUAAAGAAGC